CACCAUACACCACCAUACACCUACCAACAAGAAGACAUCAAGAAGCAGCUAUACUAACAUAGUAUAAGUCCAGCAGCAUCUGGAAGACAAAGAAGACACCAUACUACCAUACACCAUAAAUUGUACACUAUACACCAUAAACCGUACACCAUACACCACCAUACACCUACCAACAAGAAGACAUCAAGAAGCAGCUAUACUAACAUAGUUUAUGACAAAGAACAUGUGAGUAGAGUGUUCAUUAAAAAAAAAAAAACUCAAAACCCCACAUAAAACACAAUUUAGUCUUGCAAGUUGAUUGAUAGUGAAAUAAAUAAAAACAGGUGCAUUUUUUGUUUAGGUUAUGUGUGAUAAGGAAGUACAAGAUUUGGUAAAAGAAUUUCAGAAACUAAAAGGAAUAAAUUAUCAGGAAGACGUAAUAGAGAACAUAAAUUUAGAAAUGAAUAUAUCAAACGAGCAGCUCAGACUCAUGAUAGAGGCCGCGGUUUCAAGCGCACUAGCCGUACAGGAACAGAGCUUCACUUCAAAACUACAGGGUAUUCAGGAGAGCUUAAAUAGUGUACAAAUUAACGCUCCUCAAGUGGUGGCGUACAUCACUGUAUUUACCGCAGCGUGUACCGGCGUGGGUCCACACACAUACAAGCCUUGCUCGGCCUACCCCAGUGAAAAACGUGACUUUCGUCAUUGCUACGUCGCUUACGCCGCCCGCAUACGAACAGUAACGCUAAAGGAGAAGACAUUUACCGGUGCCGAAAUACUGUUUGCGUUGCUGAUGAAGUCAUUCGGUGUCUCGAUCAUGAUGGCUAUGCCCAUGCAUUUCUUCAUAUUAGAAUAAUACUUUGGAACCCCACUAUUGUACUGACCCUAGGAUUAACAUUAAAAGUUAAUUUCGUGUGAUUCGGUUUGUUUGGCUUAUCAUAAAGAAAUGUGCAGCUAGAAGGAAAGGAACUAAAACUAAUACUCGCGCGUAUCGCCUAUCUACUCUGACACACUGAUAUUUACAAGUUUUCAGCCACCCUCAUCGACCACAUGGAAGCGCUUUCAUCGUUGGAUUUGAUAGUAAUGUGAGUGAUAACCUGUGAACGUCUGCUAUAUGUGAAUUCAAAAUUUUACGCAAGUCGAAGCAACAUUAAAGAUUCCAUGCCUCGACCGUAAACUUCCCAGCCGUACUGUAACGCUGACCAAUCCAAUUGUUCACGUGUUUGUUUUGUUCUGCUCUUUCGCAACAAAGUAACUAUCUGCAAUUCCGAAUCUAUCGACAACCGAACUUAUGAUUGGGAUUACCCCACAAGCAAUUGCUGUGCACUUUAAAGAUGCACCCAUCCGUCCCUUGUUUUUGCAUUUAAACUGAAAACCAUCCGAAUAUAUUUCUAUUUGUGUAAAGUAAUUACCAUUAUUCCUGAAUAUACUCGUUAUAAUUAGUUGACCCUAGUCUAAUAAGAUCUUUCAUCAUGAUAUUUUUAUAUAUAUAAUUAAUCUUAAUUGCAGCUUAUUUGAACAUAUUAUCCUUAUUACUUUAGUAGCCUUUAUACAUAUAUAUCUACCCUCUUAGCAGCCAUGAGAGCUUGUAGAAAAGUUUAAUGAAUAAACUGUUUGUAAUGAA